rnacentral:rRNA from 1 species
AGCGAACGCUGGCGGCAGGCCUAACACAUGCAAGUCGAACGAACUCUUCGGAGUUAGUGGCGGACGGGUGAGUAACACGUGGGAACGUGCCUUUAGGUUCGGAAUAACUCAGGGAAACUUGUGCUAAUACCGAAUGUGCCCUUCGGGGGAAAGAUUUAUCGCCUUUAGAGCGGCCCGCGUCUGAUUAGCUAGUUGGUGAGGUAAAGGCUCACCAAGGCGACGAUCAGUAGCUGGUCUGAGAGGAUGAUCAGCCACAUUGGGACUGAGACACGGCCCAAACUCCUACGGGAGGCAGCAGUGGGGAAUCUUGCGCAAUGGGCGAAAGCCUGACGCAGCCAUGCCGCGUGAAUGAUGAAGGUCUUAGGAUUGUAAAAUUCUUUCACCGGGGACGAUAAUGACGGUACCCGAAGAAGAAGCCCCGGCUAACUUCGUG